ACGUAGGUGGCGAGCGUUAUCCGGAAUUAUUGGGCGUAAAGGGCGCGCAGGCGGCCAUUUAAGUUUGACGUGAAAGCUCCUGGCUUAACUGGGAGAGGUCGUUGGAAACUGAAUGGCUUGAGGCAAUGAGAGGGGUGCGGAAUUCCCGGUGUAGUGGUGGAAUGCGUAGAUAUCGGGAGGAACACCAGUGGCGAAAGCGGCACCCUGGCAUUGGACUGACGCUGAAGUGCGAAAGCGUGGGGAGCGAACGGG
rnacentral:rRNA from 1 species